AGCGAACGCUGGCGGCAGGCUUAACACAUGCACGUCGAACGCCCCGCAAGGGGAGUGGCAGACGGGAGAGUAACACGAGGGAACGUACCCUUUGGUUCGGAAUAACCUGGGGAAACUCAAGCUAAUACCGGAUAAGCCCUUAUGGGGAAAGGUUUACUGCCGAAGGAUCGGCCCGCGGCGAAUUAGCUAGUUGGUGAGGGAAUGGCUCACCAAGGCGACGAUCAGUAGCUGGUCUGAGCGGAUGAUCAGCCACACUUGGAUUGAGACACGGCCCUGAAUCCUACGGGAGGCAGCAGUGGUGAAUAUUUGACAGUGGGGUCAACCCUGAUCCAGGCGUUCCGCGUGAGUGAUUAAGGCCUUAUGGUUGAACAGCUCUUUUACGCGGGACAACAAUGACUGUACCGGGAGAAUAAGCCCCGGCUAACUUCGUGCCAGCCGCCGCGGUAA
rnacentral:rRNA from 1 species